rnacentral:lncRNA from 1 species
GUGGGCUGAGAUUUGAACCAAACUACCCAUCUCCAAAGUCUCAGCCCACUCUAUAGCCUUUUUGAAUUGCUGUUGGCCCCCCAGCACCCCGGCGAGGGAAGGCGUGGGUGGCAAGACAAUUUCUCCUUUUGAGGAGCCAUGUGGGGGCAGGGCAGAGGCGCGGUCUGUGUCUUUUUGGUAAAUGGGCAGUAUUUUUAGAAGGUCCUCUUUGAAACUGUGCUUCCCCCUGGGCCACCACCUUCCACAUCCAACUCGAGAAAAUAUUCCUGAUCUUUUUGCCAUCAAAAGUCCUUUUUGGGGUUUAUUUUCAUCCCCACUUCACACUGCAUGCAGGAUUUGAAAGGCUAAGUGUAGACACUAAACAGGUGUCUGAAAUAACAAUUCACCUCUCUCUCCCCCGAGGGAAAUCAGGUGUCGCCACAAUGUUCUAACUCAGACUUAAACUAUCUGAAGAUCAGUGCAUGCAUCUCUUCUGGGAACAGCAUAACGUUCCAUCUCAGCUGGUGGGAGAUGAAUGGAGCUCAGAUGGUGAGCUUUGGGGUGAAAUUUCCCAACUUUCAGGUUAUCCCUACCUACCAACGCACUACAAUCUGGACUCAGGAUUACCAUCUCUCAGCUGGGGCCAUUUGCAUUAUUCAUUUAAAUGAGACAAAGGAUUUCCAUUUCCAGUGUGGCUGACCAGCUCCCAUAUGAUCAACGCUACCACAGGUAACAACUAUAAACUCUGGGGAGAAUAUAAAAAACAACUAUCUGAAGGCACUGGAGAGUGACAGGCCAGGCAGAUACUGGAAGGGAGUCAAUAUAUGGAAAAUGAGAACUUCACAGGUGAAUUUCCCAGUUCAUGAGUUUAGUCUGAAGGCAAGUUCCAAUCAGUGCUGUGCAGGGCAGUUAAGACUUCAUGCCUGUGGUCCCAGCUACUUGGAAGGCUGAGGUGGGAGGAGCACUUGAGCCUGGAGAGGUUGAGGUUGCAGUAGGCUAUGAUAGUGCCACUGCACUUUAGCCUGGGCAACAGAGUCAGACUCUAUCUCAAAAAAAAAAAAAAAAAAAAAAAAGAAAGGUUUACUGCCCUUUAUAAUCAGAGGAUAGAAUUUGGGGCAAAAAUACCUACUGGAAAGUAGAAAUCCCAGACAGAGAAGGAGAAAGGAGUAGCCCAAAUUCUGUAUAUAAUUGUCUAAAUAUCUGGCUGGCUUCUGGACCAUGUAUAUAUUCGUAGGUCAGACUCCAAGCAGCUCAGCUAAGGCUAAAUAAGCUGAACGAAGAUUUGAGCUGCAAUGGGUGUAGGGGUAGGAGAUUUUGCAUUUGAUUCCAGCCAAGUUAUGUCCCUACUGAAAUAAAACCCAAAAAUAUUAAUGCUGUUCAGAUUAUAACAGAAUCCAGAGUGUUUACAACAUAUCCCUAAUGUCCUGUGUUCAAUACAAAAUUACUUGACAUAGGCCGGGCGCGGUGGCUCAUGCCUGUAAUCCCAGCACUUUGGGAGGCCAAGGCGGGUGGAUCACGAGGUCAGGAGUUCAGGAACAGCCUGGUCAACAU